rnacentral:lncRNA from 1 species
GGGUCAUAUCUGAACUUGAUUUCCUCAGUUUAGCGACUUAGCGGUCGAUUUUAAAUUGAAUUUCUCAAUUUAGCGACAUGGUGGUCGAUUGAAGUCGAGGUGCUCAGUUUAGCGACAUGGCGGUCGAUUGUUCAGUUUAACGACUUGAUGGUCAUUUGUUCAGUUUAACGACUUGAUGGUCGUUUUUGAACUUGAUUUGCUCAGUUUAACGAUUUGGCGGUCGAAAGGGUUUGGUUUGAUUGCUCAGUUUAACGUCUUGGCGGUGAUCUUGAGAUGCUCAUGAAACUGAUUCAUGAAAUUAAUUCAUGCUAGGAGCCCGUUUGUGAAGUCCAUUAAAUUAAUUGAUGAAAUUAAUUCAUGAUAGGGGACCAAUUGGAGAGCCCAUUGAAUUGGGUUUUAUAAAAUUAGUUUAUGAUAAGGA